UCACCUUCAGCACCAACAUGUUCUCUGUAGCUCUGCUGCUGCUGCUGGCUGCUGCAUCCUGUGUGAAGUGUGAACAGCUGACCCAGCCAGCCUCUGUGACUCUGCAGCCAGGUCAGCAUCUGACCAUCAGCUGUCAGGUCUCUUAUUCUACUGGCAGCUACUACACAGCUUGGAUCAGACAGCCUGCUGGGAAAGUACUGGAGUGGAUUGGGAUGAAACAUGGUGGUGGAACUUCAUACUACAAAGAAUCUCUGAAGAACAAAUUCAGUAUAGAUGCUCAGUCUUCCAGUAGCACAGUGACUCUAAAUGGGCAGAAUGUGCAGCCUGAAGACUCUGCUGUGUAUUACUGUGCCAGACGACCACAGUGA